CAUCUUGGUUAUUUGCACGGGUAUUAGCAAAACGUCACUCAAGCUGCAAACCGAGUGUGAAGAGCGGAAUGGGUUCCAUUGGCAUUUGGCAAGUGUUUCCGUCGCGGGGAGAGGGAGAGAGAAUGGGAAGCGUGGCACAAAUACCAACGAGCUUUGGGCAUGAACAAAGAGCUUGCCUUCACUGCAGGCUUGUCAAAACUUAAAACCCUACGAUCAGUUUAGAAGCUGGGCUGAUCGCUGGCUACGAAUUGGCAGAUUUGUUCCCUGCUGCUACACUCUUGCUGUGUCGGAGACACUUCCAGAGCAAUUCCAGGCUAUUUGUGAGGAUGAGCGUGUUGAGUAUGUACCUCCAAAGCGCUGGUAAUAUUUUAGGUUGUAGGUUUGUAGGUUCGUUGAUAGUUGUCGGUGAUGAUGAUGGUGCAUGGGCGGUUGUACACAAGCUAACACUUAGUUACAGACUCCAUCUUUUAACUAAUGUGUGGAGAAACUAUAACAUUCUAAUCAAUCUUACUCGUUUUGAAGGUAGACAUUGUGUUGUUGUAGGCUAUUAUACCAACUACCAAGUCUUCGAGAAAGUUCGGUUUUCGAGUCAUCUUCUCUUUGGAAAAAUUAACAAGAACGGUUCCAACUAUCCGUGUCUUGCCGUUAUAGGUCCUAGUUCCCAAUAUGGAAUAUCCCACAACAGAUCCAACUUCAUCACCCAUUUGACACACGUGGUCCUAGUUGGUCUGUAACUGGUUGAAGCUUUAAAAACCUUUUUAUUCCUUUUCUUUGUUCCAUUUAAUUCACGCCAUUGAAUAUCACAUCUUUGUAAUUAAUGGAAACAGGUAACAACAUUGAGAAGGGGAAGUAGUAUAUGGGUGGUGGUGGUGCGGUAACGGAAGCAGAAUAUGGCCGGAGCAACUGUGGUGGGGUAAACAGCCACAUAAACUAAAAACGGAGGAAAGAAGAAUAUAAAGAAGAAGAUGAAGAGAGGAGCUACAGGCCAAGUAUUCUCAAACCAUGUUCUCUUAUCAUAACCACUAAUCAGACUCCCAUCUAUAUUCGCAAGGAUUGACAAAAUUAUUACUUGUUUACUUUUUACCAAUUUGUCUUCAGCCCCAUGGAAAUCCAAAAUACCACGUUUUUUUUUUUGCACUGUGGUGGUGGCGUGGUGCACGCGAGAUGCAAGGCUAAAAUAACAAUUAAUCAAUUAUGCAGUUUGUACUCUUUCAAUAGUCCUCAUCCCAUCAAAGCCUUCCUUUUAGUAUUUGGUGUAGAUAAUAUGUUAUACACUUUGUAACUUCUAGAUGUAAAGGUUUGAAUUUUACCAAAACUUUUGAAAUGGGAUCGGUAGGCACUAAAACUCUAAAAUAAAAUAUUUAAAUUAAUUAAAUUUAUUGUA